rnacentral:rRNA from 1 species
UACAGAGGUCUCAAGCGUUGUUCGGAUUCAUUGGGCGUAAAGGGUGCGUAGGCGGCGCGGUAAGUCGGAUGUGAAAUUUCGGAGCUUAACUCCGAAACUGCAUUCGAUACUGCGGUGCUUGAGGACUGGAGAGGAGACUGGAAUUCAUGGUGUAGCAGUGAAAUGCGUAGAGAUCAUGAGGAAGACCAGUGGCGAAGGCGGGUCUCUGGACAGUUCCUGACACUGAGGCACGAAGGCCAGGGGAGCAAACGGG